CAGUCGCCGCGGGAAUACGAAGGGUGCAAGCGUUAAUCGGAAUUACUGGGCGUAAAGCGUGCGUAGGCGGUGAGUUAAGUCUGCUGUGAAAUCCCCGGGCUCAACCUGGGAAUGGCAGUGGAUACUGGCUCGCUAGAGUGUGUCAGAGGAUGGUGGAAUUCCCGGUGUAGCGGUGAAAUGCGUAGAGAUCGGGAGGAACAUCAGUGGCGAAGGCGGCCAUCUGGGACAACACUGACGCUGAGGCACGAAAGCGUGGGGAGCAAACAGGAUUAGAUACCCGGGUAGUCCCUGUCUCUUAUAC
rnacentral:rRNA from 1 species